rnacentral:lncRNA from 1 species
CCGAGCUUCCUCCACGCGCCGUGCAGUCUCCACGGCGACGCUGCGUUCCCGACUCGGAGCCCCCAGCUCCGCGCGAGCAGCUAGCCGGGCUGGCUCUCGGUGUGUGCCCUUCGGAUGGUCUGCUGAAGAGGGCCGCCAGCUGACAGCAAAGAACAAACAGAAUGGCAGAUUGCUAAUGUUUGAUCCAAACGAAAAAGUGAUGAUUGAAUCAAACGAAGCAAUGUCAGAGUAAGAAGAUGUCUUUGAUUGUGCAGCUGAUCUCUCCCAUGCCUUUUAAGCAAUUAGAACUAGAUAAUGCAGCCAUUUGUCACCCAAUUAAAUUUGAAAGGCCAGAAAUGCAUGGAUUAGCACUUCAGCUUUUGCUGCAGUCAAAGCAAUUGU